rnacentral:rRNA from 1 species
CCUACGGGAGGCUGCAGUGAGGAAUAUUGGUCAAUGGGCGAGAGCCUGAACCAGCCAAGUCGCGUGAAGGAUGACGGAUCUAUGGUUUGUAAACUUCUUUUAUAUGGGAAUAAAGUGAGGAACGUGUUCCUUUUUGUAUGUACCAUAUGAAUAAGCAUCGGCUAACUCCGUGCCAGCAGCCGCGGUAAUACGGAGGAUGCGAGCGUUAUCCGGAUUUAUUGGGUUUAAAGGGUGCGUAGGUGGUUAAUUAAGUCAGCGGUGAAAGUUUGUGGCUCAACCAUAAAAUUGCCGUUGAAACUGGUUGUCUUGAGUGUAUUUGAGGUAGGCGGAAUGCGUGGUGUAGCGGUGAAAUGCAUAGAUAUCACGAAGAACUCCGAUUGCGAAGGCAGCUUACUGAACUAUAACUGACGCUGAGGCACGAAAGCGUGGGGAUCAAACAGGAUUAGAUACCCGUGUAGUC